GGUGCAUAUGAUCCAUGAUUGGGGCUGUCAUACUGCAAUGGUAUUCAGGUUAAUGUCUUUGAAUAAUGCUUUUCUUAUUGAUAUAAUUAUAAUUAUAACUGUCAAGGACUUUAUUUAUUUAUUUUCACAGUGGGUUAUUUUAUUGAAUAGAUAUAUGUGUUGCGCAUGCGUUAUAUUCCGUGUGCGCGACUCUUGUGGGCUACUGUUCCUUUGUUAAUUUUAUUUCGAUCUAAUUCUAAUAGUUUCACUAUUACUAGUACUAACCAAGUUUCAGGUCUAGUCCGAUCAUGUGAUCGGCGUAUCUGGACGUGUUGUGUGCGCAUGCGUACUAACCAAGUUUCAGGUCUAGUCCGAUCAUGUGAUCGGCGUAUCUGGACGUGUUGUGUCGCGCAUGCGUACUAACCAAGUUUCCGGUCUAGUCCGAUCAUGUGAUCGGCGUAUCUGGACGCGUUGUGUGCGUCUUGCGUAAUCACGUGAUCCUAC